rnacentral:rRNA from 1 species
CACUACGGCCAUACCACCCUGAACGCGCCCGAUCUCGUCUGAUCUCGGAAGCUAAGCAGGGUUGGGCCUGGUUAGUACUUGGAUGGGAGACCAAAAAAACAUUGAUUGGUAGUGA